UUGAACGGGAAUAAUGGUGCCAAUAUUCUGAAUGAAUAACAUUAAAGAAAUAAAAGCACAAGUUUUUUUGUCACCCUUUUCAAAACCUUAGGCCAUCGCCAUUUGCUAUCAAAGUGGCGAUUUCUUUCUUUUUCUGGUUUUCCAGUGCCAUUUUCUUGCUGAUUUCCUCAAUCAAAGAGAUGAUUUAGUUCACCCACCACUGAUUUCUGUCGUUAGUUGACUAUUUUGUUCACGGCUUCUCAUGGGUGCAGAGCUUUUCUUAUUGGGUUCGAAAAGUCAUGUACCUUCAGAUUAUGGAUGCUAACAAAUCACUAAGUUCUUUCAGUGCGGCAUUUGAUGGUACUACAAUGAUAGGAUCAUUAUUCAUCUUAUGAGCUUUGGGCUAGGAUUGAGGAGAAGAAUUCUGGAUUUAUGAACAAAGUGGCUUAGAGAAGAUUCCAAGGAUAGGAAGAAUGAAGCAGACAUAAAAUAUACUCCCAUACAAUACUAAAAGAAUGAAUGUUCUGUUGAGUUUUCUCCAAACUAAAGAAAAGCUCAAAUAACGUUGUGUAUCAUUCAUCUCAAGUAUUCUCUGCAAAUAG